CAGGAAGUGGUGCAGCUGGCGAUAAAACUCUCUUCAUCGCGUCUACCAGCUCCUGAAUUGGAUCGGGAUUGCUCAUGCUGUUAACUUUAAAGGUCCGGGCUUCUGUUAGGAAACGGACGGACAAACAGGUAUGGAUGAUGAUAUAGAUGCUGACCGAAUACACACACCAGAUGAGUAGGGGAUGGGACAGAACGAUGGAGCACCCACCAGAUGAGUUACGGAGACGACAACGAGGAAACACACACCUCCAACUGGAACACGGGGCAGACUGGACAAACUGGAGACAAAACAGAGAUUAGGUAAAGCAGACUGUAGCCGUUCCACAACUGUGUAAGGCCUGCAGGACAAGUCGGCACAUAGCGGGACUGGCUGUGCAUCACUAGAAGAAAGCCUGUAGAAAGUGUCUCAUUUCUUCCAGGGGGACCUCGAUCACCAUCUGGUCCCGGAGGUCCUGGUAUAGAAAAGGAUAAGAUGGUAUGUCAAUAAGAUGAUGCACAAAUGGCUGGAUGUGAGU
rnacentral:lncRNA from 1 species